AGCUAUGGAAAAGUCUGCAAGGUUAUGGUAUAGUCUAUGUAAUAGAGUUUUAGUGGACAUGUAACGUAAUGAAAUGUAAAAUGAUGUAAUGUAAAGUAAUGUAUGAGGAAUAGUAUUGUGCUUGGCCCUAAUGUCUAUGGUUAAUCCCUUUUUGUACAUGAUCUAUAUGAAAUGUUUAAUGAUAAGAAAUGUUGAACCAAGCUUGAUGUAUGAUAUGUUGACCCACUAGAGCUUUUGAUGAGGGCUCUAGUAUGGGGUCUUAUGUUUACAGUAUGGUGCAUGCACAGGUCAAG
rnacentral:lncRNA from 1 species